rnacentral:rRNA from 1 species
UACGUAGGGGGCGAGCGUUGUCCGGAUUUAUUGGGCGUAAAGAGCUCGUAGGCGGUUCGAUAAGUCGGACGUGAAAUCUCCACGCUCAACGUGGAGGGGCCGUUCGAUACUGUCGUGACUCGAGUCCGGUAGGGGAGUGUGGAAUUCCCGGUGUAGCGGUGAAAUGCGCAGAGAUCGGGAGGAACACCCGUAGCGAAGGCGGCACUCUGGGCCGGUACUGACGCUGAGGAGCGAAAGCGUGGGGAGCA